CACAUGUUGUUUAUUUUGUAUCCACGGUGAAGACUGGCAGCAGACAAGAAGCGCAAGAAACACUGAUGAUGAAAUACAAGAAGGAUAUUAACAAGAUGCGUAAAAUGGCAGCCAGAAGUGUGAAGAAAAUAAAGCAACUAGAGGUUUUUGCGAAGCUGAUGUGCUCAUUCCGCUUUUAGCCCACUGGUUUCAAAGGGAGGCGCACACGCACUCUUUCCACAUGAUCCAGUCAUGGAUUCAGACCGCAGGCCAAGGCCACAAGCAACAGUGCCCUGCUACAUCUGCCUCGGCCCCUGGCGGCUGCCUUCCAAGAAGUGCUGGAACAGCGGAAGCAGCUAGCAGCGCGGGUAAGAAGUGGUCAGCAGUUGGGAACAGCUGGAGGGAGGAGGGAGUGAGCAAAUAUCAGAGUUUGGGAAAUAAGGCUUUGGCUGAACAAAGUUCACUGUUGUUUUCCAAGAAAGCAGAGCCUGAUUGAGCCAGCCCAGACAGCAGGGCCAGGAGCAAUGAACUGAAUGUUGGCUCCCAACUUCUAAGGCAUGGUAUGCUUGGCCACCCAACAGUGACGAGGUCCAUUGUUGUUCCCCUCAGGGCAGAGGGCAGGCAGCAGCUCAGUGUAAAAGGGGAAGAUGGACAGGCAGUCAGAGUAAGACGAAACUACAGAGAUGGAGAACAAGAUGAAAGGAAAAACAACAAAAAGGCCUUCUGGGCUUUCCCUGUGCUAUGCAAAUUCACUGAAAUUAAUCCUCCAUUAACGAUUCCAUCUUGAACAUUUCAAGCUGUUCCAUCCUGCAGGUACCUACCUUUUGAAGUAGUGAGCUCUCCGUUCCUAGCAGAGUUUGAGCAGAAGCUCAACUAUCAUCCAUCAGAAAUUCUGUUAAAAAGAUGAAAGGCUGGACUAGAUCACCCCUACAACUCCUGGCAUGUACCUAGAGCACAAGGGGUGCUGGAUAGAUGUUUGGUGAAUGAAUCGAUUGCAAAGACAGAAAUUGUCCAUUUCUGCAUAUUGGCAAUAAUAAUAGCAUUUUGAACACUUACUAUGUGCUAGUAACUAGGCCAGACAAAUAUAUGACGUAUACAUAUCAUAAUAGUCCCUAAGAUGUGGUUGCUGCGAUUGUUCCCAUUUUAUAGAUGACUCAACCAAGGCGGAUGAGUGGCAGAACGAGGAUUCAAGGCCAGGUCCGUCCCACUCCUGAGCUGAAGCUCUCAGCCAUCAUGUUAAAUUGAAUCUCAGUCCUCUGCUCCGUGUAUCCAUUUUUAAGUGCUGUGCGUGGUGUGUUCAGCAGAUGGAAACGGCACUGUCGCCCCGUGUAGACCGAAGGCAGGGCCUAGCCGGCAGACAACCUGCUUCCCCAGCUGCUUCUGUCCUGGCUAUGCAGCCUCCCCUCCCCCCGGUUCCUAAAUCACUCCCAGGUCCUUUGUUCUGCCCACAGCUGCUCAGCAAAUUCCUUGAUUUGAAAUUAUGAUCACAGGUUGGAGUGCUACUUAAAAUAAUUUUGCCAAAUGUUCCAUCUCUCUGCAUUGAUGAAUAUAAUGAAUGAAAAUUUAAAGAGGGGGAAAAAAAUUUAAGAAUUCACUUUGUUGAAGACAAAAAAAAAAUGACGGGCUGCAGCCAUACAUUCAGUCGGACCCAAAGGAUUCUCUCCCGCAGGAAGCUGACCAAAUGCUGGACUUUCGGGAGCCCUCGGCCUGGCAGGGCUGCUGGCAGGUCAGGUCUGCCACAGAUGGAGGGAGCAAAGGUCAGGGCGGGUGUUGGGUUUGUUUAAGCCUGAGUCAGAGGCGGAGUGGGGGUAGACCCUCGGUUUCCAAUUUCCAAUUUCCUGUGCGAGGCACUGAUGGGCACUCCUACCCUGCCCAGCCAGGCUUUUAUGUGCACCGCUCUGCACAACAAAGGCGGACACACACAUAAAUAACCUGGACAGGCCAAGUCUUCUUUCAAGAAGGUAGACCUCUCUCGAAUUCAGUGAAGUUUACACUCAGAGGGAGGCAGGGGACGAGGGCACUGCAUCUGGCACUUUGAUCCUAUGAGGGCUACCACUCGGGCUCCUGGCUUCCUCCCCUUGGACAUGGCCCUGAGCCCUAAGUGAAGCCUCGUGCUAGCCUGUCCUUCUGAUUAGCCCACUGCUCAGGGUCCCCUGAGCACGGUGGCUCUCCAUGGGUCAAGGGACCUGGUGGACAGGCUGCGAAGAUUCAAAACAGGGGGGUCUUCCCUCACUCCGGAUUCUGCUGUAUCCAGUGGCCUCCACUUAAGACAUUGCCCCCAUUUUCUGUGGCUUCCCGUAUGCUUGAAAAGGUGGUGGGGAGAGAUGUGCAAGCCCUGCACUGAGAGGGCGGUGAGUCUCUCAAAUUUUCCAUACCAAGGAAGGCCUCGCAAGAAGGAGGCGCUUCAGCCAGCAGGUCCCCACAGUCAGGCCUGUCUCGGAGCGAGGAUCCCAGGAUUCCGAUAAUGACAUGAGCCCCCAGGGCCACUUUCAAAGCAGACUGCUCUCUAAAAAUCAGCUCUGCCGCUCUGUAGGGAUCUCAGCGUACAUGGAAAGCCGGCCCCUCUGGGAGCAGCAUCCUCGCUGAGGAGCUGUCUGUUUGGCACUGUGCCCUUCAAGGACUCUUAAAGGUGACGCCUUGCAGUUGUGCUGAAGGGCGAUCCACAGGCCUGCUGAGCUUAAGGGGAGUUCCAUG
ensembl:lncRNA